AUCUUCCGCAAUGGACGAAAGUCUGACGGAGCAACGCCGCGUGAGUGAUGAAGGCUUUCGGGUCGUAAAACUCUGUUGUUAGGGAAGAACAAGUACAAGAGUAACUGCUUGUACCUUGACGGUACCUAACCAGAAAGCCACGGCUAACUACGUGCCAGCAGCCGCGGUAAUACGUAGGUGGCAAGCGUUAUCCGGAAUUAUUGGGCGUAAAGCGCGCGCAGGCGGUUUCUUAAGUCUGAUGUGAAAGCCCACGGCUCAACCGUGGAGGGUCAUUGGAAACUGGGGAACUUGAGUGCAGAAGAGAAAAGCGGAAUUCCACGUGUAGCGGUGAAAUGCGUAGAGAUGUGGAGGAACACCAGUGGCGAAGGCGGCUUUUUGGUCUGUAACUGACGCUGAGGCGCGAAAGCGUGGGGAGCAAACAGGAUUAGAUACCCUGGUAGUCC
rnacentral:rRNA from 1 species